GUGCAUUAGGUACAAGCAUUUUUUGGAGGCUUAUUUUCUGAUAUUUUCUUUCCAGAAACAAAGAGGAGCAGAGGAUGAAAGAGGUCAACCUCUGCAUGAAGAACAUCCACACUGUGAAGGUGAGAGCUGGACUUUAAUAAUGAGCAGUAUUUUAUUCAUGGGGAUUUAUUUAACAUUGAGCUUCAAAAAAUAAUGAUUAAUAAUGAUUAAUGUUGGUCUUUUUUAUAUUUGUCAGGAAAACACUGAAGCCCUGAAGACAGAACUCUCUGAAUUAAAGGCCCAGCUGUCUGAGAAAAGGGAGGUGACAAAGGCAGCUCGAAUUAAGAACCACAAAACAGGUAAAACCAGGACUGAUCCUGCUGAUGUCCCAGAGAAUGAUACUCCCAAGGAGAAGGUAUCUUCUAAGGAGGAGGCCAUCAUUAAGGAGGACGCCACCACAAAAGAGAAGCCUGCCCCCAGGAGAAGAGCAGCUUCAAAAGAGAAGCUUACCUCAAAAGAGGAGGCUGCCCUCAAAGAUGUGGCCUCCAUGGAGGAGAAGGCUGCCCCCAAGAAAAGAGCUGCUCCAAAAAAGAAGCCUGUUUCUGAAGAGGAGACUGCUCUCAAAGAGGCUACUUCGAAAGAGACGGUUAUCCCCAAGAAGAGAGCACCUCCUAGAGCGAAGGCUGCCCCCAAAGAAGAGGCCAUCACAACACAGGAGGCCAGCUUAAAGGAAAAGGCUGCUCUCAAAGAGGAGGCCAUUGUGACGGUGGAGGCCACCUCGAAGGAGACGGUUGUCCCCAAGAAGAGAGCUGCCCCAAAAAAGAAGGCUGCCCCUGAAGAUGAGGCCUCCACAAGGGAGGAGACUGCUGCCAAAGAGGAGGACAUUGUAACAGAGGAGGCCACCUUGAAGGAGACGGUUAUCCCCAAGAAGAGAGCAGCUCCUAGAGCGAAGGCUGCUCCCAAGGAGGAGGCCACCAUGAAGAAGGAGGCCAUCCUCAACGAGAAGGAGGCCACAGCAAUUGAGAACACUACCGUAAAGGAGAAGGUUGCCCCAAAGAAAAGAGCUGCCCUCAAAUUGAGACCUGGGAUGAACGAUAAGACUGGCACAGAAGAGGAGACUACCACAAAGGACAAGGUUCUCCCCAAGAAGAGAGCACCUCCCAAAGAGAAGGAUGCUCCCAAAGAGGAGGCCACCUCGAAGGAGAAGGUUCUCCCCAAGAUAAGAGCAGCUCCCAAAGAGAAGGCCAUCGUGACUGAGGAGGCCGCUCCCAAGAAGAGGGCUGCCACCAAAGAGGAGGCCACCACAAAGAAGAAGGUUAUCCCCAAGAAGACAGCACCUCCUAAAGAGAAGGCUGCUUCCAAAGAGGAGGCCUCUACAAAGGAGGAGGUUAUCCCCAAGAAGAGAGCACCUCCUAAAGAGAAAGAUGCUCCUACAGAGGAGGAUGUCUCCAAAGAGGAGGCCACCACAAAGGAGAAGGUUCUCCCCAAGAAGAGAGCACCUCCUAAAGAGGAGGAUGCUCACCAAGAGGAGGCCAUCACGACAGAGCAAUCCACCACAAAGGAGAAAGCUGCUCCCAAGAAGAAAGCACCUCUCAAAGAGAACGCUGCGCCCAAAGAGGAAGCAGUCACGACAGAGGAGGCCGCCUCGAAGAAGAAGGUUAUCCCCAAGAAGAGAGCACCUCCCAAAGAGAAGCCUUCGUCAAAAGGGAAGACUGCCCCUGAAGAGGAGGCCAUUGUGAUGGAGAAGGCUGCUCCCAAGAAGAGAGCAGCUCCUAGAGGGAAGGCUGCUCCCAAGGAGGAGGCCACCGUGAAGGAGGAGGCCGUCCUCAAUGAGAAAGCACUCUCCAGAAAGAAGACAACCACAAAGGGAAGACCUUCAAAGGAUACAAACCUAGACAAGGUUCUACAAGAGGAACAAGCAGAAACGAGUCCUCAGCCACCAGAGAUGCAGGUAGCUUUAGGUUUUUUGAACUGCAGAAUCACACUUAAUGCAUUUUCCUGUUGUGUCAAAUGAUUUGUAGUAUUGAGAGACUGUUUGUUAAAAGAUUAGGUGUUUCUCAAAAGUUUUGUUUACACCGAAAACCCUUUUUUUUCUUUCAGAAAUCAUCAAAAACCCGCAAGACAGGCAGACCCCCAAAAGUGCCGAAAUCUCAAAGCCCCUCAGAGAGUGAUUCUCAAUCAGUCUGCCGCUCGAAAAGAGCUGCCACCAAAUCUACCAGAGAGUGAGAUGACCAAUAAGAAAACAGAAUGCAGUUUCAGACAGGGAUAGUCAUAAAAAGGUACUGAACUUUGCACUUAGACCCUGUUCAGACCUGGAAUUAACAUUUUUCCUGGAUAAUCUGGUCAUAAUUGUCCAAUCUUGUGGACAAACUGCAAUCUGAUUCGUCAAAUCACCUCCAGAGGUGGACGCAUAUUAUGUCUUCAAGCAGCAAAGCCCCGCCCACAAUAGCGGCGUCACUGGCCCCUGCUGGAACAGGCGUAAUAAUCACGAGACCACACCAUCCACCGUCCAAGCGGGUUAGCUGAGCAUAGUACAACAACAAUCUAAUGGAUAAAUUAGGGUAAUACUUGUGACUUGUAGCUCCCUUACCACACACAGUUUAGGCUCAGGAAAUGUGAACUGAAACAUCUUUAUUUAUUUAUAUUGAUUUAAUAAGAAUUAAAAUAAUGUAUUUGUGCCCUGAUAUAAAGCUGCUUAGUUUAGGGGAGUAACUGUACUGGGCUCUGUUUAAGAUGCUGGAGCUCAGUGUUUUCAUUGUUCCUUUACUGACCUCUUGUGGCACAUUUAUUCUUGUUUUAUUGUAUUUUUUGUACAGUUUGUAAAAUAAGGCUCUAGCCACACAAAUGCACAUCUCCUCUUACUCUUACUCUCUUUUAUUUACUGUUUUUUAUCUUUUGUUUUUUUUUUCAAAAACACCUAUGAUCAAAUAAAAAAGAUUUCAGUAAAUUACUUGUUCA
rnacentral:lncRNA from 1 species